GAUGACCAGGGUUACAAAGUUAUAUUUCUUUUACUUUUUUUUUUUUUUUUUUUAAUUUAUGGCCACAGCCAGGAUGUAUGAAAGUUCUGGGGCCCGGGACUGAUUCUGAUCCACAGCUGCAACUAUGCCACAGCUGCAGCAACGCUGGAUCCUUAACACACUGUGCCAGGCUGGGGAUUGAACUUCCACCUCCACAGCAAUACCUAGCCACUGCAGUUGGAUUCUUAAACCACUGAACCACAGCGGGGACUCCAAAAAGUGGUAUUUCAAUGAUAAAAAUCUGUAUUAGGUUUGAUGCUGUAUAGUCUAAAGAUUAUUGCCGAACAAUAACCUAUAAGUCAGACACCUAUGAGCCUCUUCUAAGACUUGAACUACCUGUGUGGCUUUUGAAAUAGAAGGAUCGCUAAGCCUUUCUCUAAACCAGUGUUCUUUAAACAUCAUUGGCAUAAAACUAUUUUGGAAUAUUUAUUAAAAAUGUACAUUAUCAAGUCUUUUCCCCAGAACUGUUGAGUCAGAAUUAUAGAAGAUAUAUGGGAGGUCCAGAACUUACAUAUUUAACAAACAUACAGGGUGAUUUUUAUGCAAAGUAAAUUUUAGAAAUAUUGGCUUAGACCCAUCGAAUCAGAAUAGUGGGGCUGGGGCUGUUACGUCUACAUAUCUGAUUACCACAACUAAUGGUUAUCAUGAACAUCAAAAUUUGAGAACUGUUCUUUAUUUGUUUGUUGUUUCUACAUUACAGACAUAGUUCAGUGUCUUACUUCCCUGAAGCACAUAACCAUUAUUUCUCUGGUCCACUGUUUUGUUUGGAUGGUCACUUAACAGAAUGCCAGUCAAUGUUAACAAUCUCCCAGUGAGAGCUCAAGAUUGUCAAUUAGAACAAUAUAGUAGAGGUGUAUUUUAACACUCCAAAGCUUAAACAAGUUUCCUAAAACUUACUUGCAAAAAUCAGGGUAGAAGGAACGAUAAAGCAUAGCAUUGCUGCAAGUAAAUUGAAUUGUAAUUUGAAUUUGCUGCAUCUGGAAGCCUGUUCUUCACUGUCCUGGACUGCUUGGCUUUCUCUAAGUGAGAUUCUGUUCUAUUCAUUGUUGGCUGGGGUCUGGCUAAAUUGUUUGCUGAUCCUGAAAUCAUACCAGCUGUUCAGAUUUCCUUGUCACCAUUUUAAAGGUUUCUCUGUCUUUCCCUUUUAUUUCUAUCCUCUUUCACUCCUUUCUUACCUUAUUUUUUUUAAGCCAGCCACCUAUAUUGGAGACAAACUAUCCUUCAGAAAAUUGCCAGUUGUUUCUAA
ensembl:lncRNA